rnacentral:rRNA from 1 species
UACGUAGGUGGCAAGCGUUGUCCGGAUUUACUGGGCGUAAAGAGCGCGCAGGCGGUCGUUCAAGUCGCGUGUGAAAGCCCCCGGCUCAACUGGGGAGGGUCACGCGAUACUGAUCGACUCGAAGGCAGGAGAGGGUAGUGGAAUUCCCGGUGUAGUGGUGAAAUGCGUAGAUAUUGGGAGGAACACCAGUGGCGAAGGCGGCUACCUGGACCGGUUCUGACGCUGAUGCGCGAAAGCGUGGGUAGCAAACGGG